CCCCGCGCCAUUUUGGUGCUUAUUAGAUAUGUCCUUGAGGGAAUUGGUUUGAUAGAAAAGAAGUUGAAGAAUAGAAUCUGUUGGAAGGGUUUGGAUGAAUCAGGAACUAAUUUGGAUAAUGAUCUUUCAGUUCUGAAGCUUAGGCAACUCAUGUAUUGGGGCCCACCUGGUGUUAAUGAGGUCCAGCUUUGAGUCUAUUGCCUUUGGCAGAAAUAAUAGCGAUGGCAACUCAUGCUGCAAGAAGUUUCCUGAAAGGCAGUGGAGCUUCAUCCAGAGGUAACAUGAAUUGACCUUUCAUACUUAAUCCCUACCUGCGGGUUGGUUGUGCUGGCACAUUCUUCCAUUGGUGUGGUUCAAUUACACGUGAGCCAUAUGGUCUUGCCUUGGUCCCUCCUUUAUAGUGAUGGCUAUACCGGGAUUAGAUGUAUGCUUCUAAUCGAUGCGUGUUGUGCUUUGCAGAUACGUAUGUAGUUACU